GACGAACCGUCCGAACGUUAUUCGGAAUCAUUGGGCGUAAAGCGCGUGUAGGCGGUCCGGUAAGUCCGCUGUGAAAGUCGGGGGCUCAACCCUCGGAUGCCGGUGGAUACUGUCGGGCUUGAGUACGGAAGAGGCGAGUGGAAUUCCUGGUGUAGCGGUGAAAUGCGCAGAUAUCAGGAGGAACACCAAUUGCGAAGGCAGCUCGCUGGGACGUUACUGACGCUGAGACGCGAAAGCGUGGGGAGCAAACAGG
rnacentral:rRNA from 1 species